rnacentral:lncRNA from 1 species
UCGAAACAGUCAUUUUGUACACCAAAUCUCAUGGCGUCGAAAACGCACGUAUACAAAUUGCCCCCCAGCAAAGACGUUUCGACUGUUGUUCUGGAGAAACAGUCAUUUGUUGUCAAUCAGUGCUUUGAUGCCAUGUCAUUCAAUCUUCAUUAAAUGCAAGUCUGAUAAUCUCAAUUCCCAAUGCAGGUUCAUCAUUACACUUUCUC